rnacentral:rRNA from 1 species
AACGAACGCUGGCGGCAUGCCUAACACAUGCAAGUCGAACGAGACCUUCGGGUCUAGUGGCGCACGGGUGCGUAACGCGUGGGAACCUGCCCUUAGGUUCGGAAUAACUCCCCGAAAGGGGUGCUAAUACCGGAUAAUGUCUUCGGACCAAAGAUUUAUCGCCUUUGGAUGGGCCCGCGUUGGAUUAGCUAGUUGGUAGGGUAAAAGCCUACCAAGGCGACGAUCCAUAGCUGGUCUGAGAGGAUGAUUAGCCACACUGGGACUGAGACACGGCCCAGACUCCUACGGGAGGCAGCAGUGGGGAAUAUUGGGCAAUGGGCGAAAGCCUGAUCCAGCAAUGCCGCGUGAGUGAUGAAGGCCUUAGGGUUGUAAAGCUCUUUUACCCGGGAUGAUAAUGACAGUACCGGGAGAAUAAGCUCCGGCUAACUCCGUG